rnacentral:lncRNA from 1 species
UAAUCCGCGCCGAAUUCAGAUUAUAAAGUGUUGUUACUGAAGCAACGAACAGACAGAAUUGUAAUAAAAUAUUGACUAAAUGUCAAAAUUAUGUAUUAACGGUAACUACAAUCACUUUCUAAUUUGCAUAUUUACUUCUGUUUCAAUAGAGAAGAACAUUGCCGAAACAUAAAUCCCUCGCUCUGCUAUGUGACAAAUUCCAAUAAGAACAGUUGUUAUUAAUAUAAAUUUAUUAAAAUUCUACUUAUUGGAUCAUAUAUAUGUCGCGUUUUGUUAAAAUCCGAAAUAAAUAGACCAAACAACGAUAGUAAACUGAGCUCUGCGUCCAAAAUGCAAACAUGAUUUAAAUAUGGCGUGUGACGGAGUUACCGCAGCAAGUAUUCGGAUUGUCUUUGAAAUAAUAAAUUGUGAACUUUAAAUAACUAGAAGAAUAUGUAAAAAGAAAGUUUGAACAUAAAGUGGGAUUGAUAAAGGGAAUGCGUUAGAAGCAAGCAACACUCUGUUGAAAGAACUGGCUUUGUGUUGGAUGCAAUAUAUAUCUCGUUAGAAGAAUAUAUUCAAGUGAAUAAAAAAGGGUGACUUUCUUACAGUUCCGUCAACAUUUUUAAGCAGUCAUUGAAAACCAUUGGAUUACAAUAAUUAUUUAAUUUCAGUUUUUUAGACACUAUCGUACAUAAUAGAAAUUUUUUAAAUUUACAAGGUAUUCAAGAAUAUAAAUGAUUGGAUUUAGACAUUGCAAAAACAUUCCAUGCAAGGUAGAAUUAUCCAAACUGCAUAGGAGCUUUAGAUGGAAAACAUGUUGUCAUUUAAUGCCUGCCAAUCACAACUGCACUAUUGUAGUUCUGGGAUUAGUUGAUCGCAAUUAUUGUUUCACAAUGAUAGAUGUUUGGGUGCUAUGGGACUUAACCAGAAGAUGCAAUUUUUGAUAAUUCUAAUUUGAAGACAGCUCUCAAAGGAUAUGUAUUAAAUGUAUCAUCUGAAUGUGUAAUCUUGUGAGGUGAUACAUUUCCAUUAUCCAAGAUCAUAUCUUUAGACACAAUGUGCCAGGCAUCAUUAUGUGCUUUUCAAAUCGAAGAUUUAUAAUUGUAGACAUCGUAAUUGUUGCCAUAUUAGACGCGUAUAUAUAGACUAAUAUAUUUCGCGUGUUCCAAAAGGAGAUAAUUUUACAGAGAAGAGAUAAUUAGAAGUUUAAAAUAAAAUCACUAUUAUCUAAAGAUGCUAAGAACGUUUGUCGCAUAAAAAGUUUUUAUCUUUUUAUUAAAUGGAUUAUACUUUA